GCCGAAUGUAGUGUAAAAGUUACUUUUUUUUGGUAUUUUUAUUUCCGUUCUUAGCGUGUGUUUGUGAGCAGAUUUUAAAAAUCAAUUUCUCGAGUUGAAAAGAAAAUGCCUUAUGAAUUUCAAGUGUUAUGCUGCCGUGAAUGUAUAAAGUUCCAAGUGCAUCUAGUGAAGGAAGAAAAAAAAUGGGAAUGCUAUUAUUGCCAUCAUAAACAAUCUGUUAAAGAAGCCUUCAAGAUCGGAAAUUGUCAGGAGUGUCGAGAAGUGGUGCAGCGGAUCAAAAUGGCUGCGCCAGGGCUUUGAACGCGAAAAUGUCCAGCAGCAUCUUGACUUGAAAUUCUGGCACUGCAAAAAUUAAAGUCUAUAGAACAGCACUUUUUUUUUUUUCAUUCAAAAAUUCAAACAAGUUGAUGAGUUGAACUGUGGACCAUCAUUGGCUCCAGCGAACUUUGAAGGAUCCAGAGGACAUCACGGGAAUGACAACAUCAAAAGUCCUACUCGUGCUGUUGCAUUUAAACACUCCAGAAUUUCCAGAUACAUGAAAACAAAUGACAGCAGUCAAUAACAUAAUAUGAACAUUUUUACAAAAAAAUUUGCCAAAGUACACAUGGAAAUGUAAUU